GGUUAAGCGACUAAGCGUACACGGUGGAUGCCCUGGCAGUCAGAGGCGAUGAAGGACGUGCUAAUCUGCGAUAAGCGUCGGUAAGGUGAUAUGAACCGUUAUAACCGGCGAUUUCCGAAUGGGGAAACCCAGUGUGUUUCGACACACUAUCAUUAACUGAAUCCAUAGGUUAAUGAGGCGAACCGGGGGAACUGAAACAUCUAAGUACCCCGAGGAAAAGAAAUCAACCGAGAUUCCCCCAGUAGCGGCGAGCGAACGGGGAGGAGCCCAGAGCCUGAAUCAGUGUGUGUGUUAGUGGAAGCGUCUGGAAAGGCGCGCGAUACAGGGUGACAGCCCCGUACACAAAAAUGCACAUACUGUGAGCUCGAUGAGUAGGGCGGGACACGUGGUAUCCUGUCUGAAUAUGGGGGGACCAUCCUCCAAGGCUAAAUACUCCUGACUGACCGAUAGUGAACCAGUACCGUGAGGGAAAGGCGAAAAGAACCCCGGCGAGGGGAGUGAAAAAGAACCUGAAACCGUGUACGUACAAGCAGUGGGAGCCUCUUUUAUGGGGUGACUGCGUACCUUUUGUAUAAUGGGUCAGCGACUUAUAUUCUGUAGCAAGGUUAACCGAAUAGGGGAGCCGAAGGGAAACCGAGUCUUAACUGGGCGUUAAGUUGCAGGGUAUAGACCCGAAACCCGGUGAUCUAGCCAUGGGCAGGUUGAAGGUUGGGUAACACUAACUGGAGGACCGAACCGACUAAUGUUGAAAAAUUAGCGGAUGACUUGUGGCUGGGGGUGAAAGGCCAAUCAAACCGGGAGAUAGCUGGUUCUCCCCGAAAGCUAUUUAGGUAGCGCCUCGUGAAUUCAUCUCCGGGGGUAGAGCACUGUUUCGGCAAGGGGGUCAUCCCGACUUACCAACCCGAUGCAAACUGCGAAUACCGGAGAAUGUUAUCACGGGAGACACACGGCGGGUGCUAACGUCCGUCGUGAAGAGGGAAACAACCCAGACCGCCAGCUAAGGUCCCAAAGUCAUGGUUAAGUGGGAAACGAUGUGGGAAGGCCCAGACAGCCAGGAUGUUGGCUUAGAAGCAGCCAUCAUUUAAAGAAAGCGUAAUAGCUCACUGGUCGAGUCGGCCUGCGCGGAAGAUGUAACGGGGCUAAACCAUGCACCGAAGCUGCGGCAGCGACACUAUGUGUUGUUGGGUAGGGGAGCGUUCUGUAAGCCUGUGAAGGUGUACUGUGAGGUAUGCUGGAGGUAUCAGAAGUGCGAAUGCUGACAUAAGUAACGAUAAAGCGGGUGAAAAGCCCGCUCGCCGGAAGACCAAGGGUUCCUGUCCAACGUUAAUCGGGGCAGGGUGAGUCGACCCCUAAGGCGAGGCCGAAAGGCGUAGUCGAUGGGAAACAGGUUAAUAUUCCUGUACUUGGUGUUACUGCGAAGGGGGGACGGAGAAGGCUAUGUUGGCCGGGCGACGGUUGUCCCGGUUUAAGCGUGUAGGCUGGUUUUCCAGGCAAAUCCGGAAAAUCAAGGCUGAGGCGUGAUGACGAGGCACUACGGUGCUGAAGCAACAAAUGCCCUGCUUCCAGGAAAAGCCUCUAAGCAUCAGGUAACAUCAAAUCGUACCCCAAACCGACACAGGUGGUCAGGUAGAGAAUACCAAGGCGCUUGAGAGAACUCGGGUGAAGGAACUAGGCAAAAUGGUGCCGUAACUUCGGGAGAAGGCACGCUGAUAUGUAGGUGAAGUCCCUCGCGGAUGGAGCUGAAAUCAGUCGAAGAUACCAGCUGGCUGCAACUGUUUAUUAAAAACACAGCACUGUGCAAACACGAAAGUGGACGUAUACGGUGUGACGCCUGCCCGGUGCCGGAAGGUUAAUUGAUGGGGUCAGCGCAAGCGAAGCUCUUGAUCGAAGCCCCGGUAAACGGCGGCCGUAACUAUAACGGUCCUAAGGUAGCGAAAUUCCUUGUCGGGUAAGUUCCGACCUGCACGAAUGGCGUAAUGAUGGCCAGGCUGUCUCCACCCGAGACUCAGUGAAAUUGAACUCGCUGUGAAGAUGCAGUGUACCCGCGGCAAGACGGAAAGACCCCGUGAACCUUUACUAUAGCUUGACACUGAACAUUGAGCCUUGAUGUGUAGGAUAGGUGGGAGGCUUUGAAGUGUGGACGCCAGUCUGCAUGGAGCCGACCUUGAAAUACCACCCUUUAAUGUUUGAUGUUCUAACGUUGACCCGUGAUCCGGGUUGCGGACAGUGUCUGGUGGGUAGUUUGACUGGGGCGGUCUCCUCCUAAAGAGUAACGGAGGAGCACGAAGGUUGGCUAAUCCUGGUCGGACAUCAGGAGGUUAGUGCAAUGGCAUAAGCCAGCUUGACUGCGAGCGUGACGGCGCGAGCAGGUGCGAAAGCAGGUCAUAGUGAUCCGGUGGUUCUGAAUGGAAGGGCCAUCGCUCAACGGAUAAAAGGUACUCCGGGGAUAACAGGCUGAUACCGCCCAAGAGUUCAUAUCGACGGCGGUGUUUGGCACCUCGAUGUCGGCUCAUCACAUCCUGGGGCUGAAGUAGGUCCCAAGGGUAUGGCUGUUCGCCAUUUAAAGUGGUACGCGAGCUGGGUUUAGAACGUCGUGAGACAGUUCGGUCCCUAUCUGCCGUGGGCGCUGGAGAACUGAGGGGGGCUGCUCCUAGUACGAGAGGACCGGAGUGGACGCAUCACUGGUGUUCGGGUUGUCAUGCCAAUGGCACUGCCCGGUAGCUAAAUGCGGAAGAGAUAAGUGCUGAAAGCAUCUAAGCACGAAACUUGCCCCGAGAUGAGUUCUCCCUGACUCCUUGAGAGUCCUGAAGGAACGUUGAAGACGACGACGUUGAUAGGCCGGGUGUGUAAGCGCAGCGAUGCGUUGAGCUAACCGGUACUAAUGAACCGUGAGGCUUAACCUU
rnacentral:rRNA from 1 species